rnacentral:rRNA from 1 species
CCUACGGGGUGCUGCAGUGGGGAAUAUUGGACAAUGGGCGAAAGCCUGAUCCAGCCAUGCCGCGUGUGUGGAGAAGGCCUUCGGGUUGUAAAGCACUUUCAGUGGGGAAGAAAGCCUUGGGGCUAAUACCCUCGAGGAAGGACAUCACCCACAGAAGAAGCACCGGCUAACUCCGUGCCAGCAGCCGCGGUAAUACGGAGGGUGCGAGCGUUAAUCGGAAUUACUGGGCGUAAAGCGCGCGUAGGCGGUCUGAUAAGCCGGUUGUGAAAGCCCCGGGCUCAACCUGGGAACGGCAUCCGGAACUGUCAGGCUAGAGUGCAGGAGAGGGAGGUAGAAUUCCCGGUGUAGCGGUGAAAUGCGUAGAGAUCGGGAGGAAUACCAGUGGCGAAGGCGGCCUUCUGGACUGACACUGACGCUGAGGUGCGAAAGCGUGGGUAGCAAACAGGAUUAGAUACCCCAGUAGUC